UAAAUUGGCCUUUACACAAAUAUAUAUAUUUAUAUAUAUAUAUAUAUAUAUAUAUAUAUAUAUUUUAUUUUUUUAAUUGGAGUAGCCCCAAAAUAUUGGGACAUAUAAAAAAAGACAACUCUGUUCCACAGAGUAGCUGUUAACAUUAUAGUUGCACAGGAACUUUGUUGACUCUAGAGAACCUCGGGCAAAUCGCAAUUCACCGUGGCGGCGACUUUGCAUACAUAUGUCAUCCAUAUCAACUUUCGAUGGCAGUUUCUGCGCCUACCAUGGUGACCACGGGUAACGGAGAAUCAGGGUUCCAUUCCAUACAGGGACCCUGAGAAACAGCUACCACAUGCAAGGAAGGCAGCAGGCGCGCAAAUGACCCACUCCCGACGUGGGAAGGUAGUGA